rnacentral:lncRNA from 1 species
CUGUCCAAACAGCUCUCAUCCCCUCCCCAGUCUCCAUCUCAUAGAUACAAAAAGCUUCUCACAACAUCUGCCGUUGUAGUUUUACAAAAAGUUGCAAGCUUAUUUGAUUAAUUUAUGUCUCCACUAGGCUGUGAUCUGUGGUUUUGCGCAAGACUCUAUUUCCACUCUCACCAUACCUCCUGGCACAGAUGAUGGGUGCUUAAUACAACCUGUGCGGAAGAAGGAAGGAAGGAAGGAAGGAAGGAAGGAGCAAGCACUUGAGGGCUGGCCUUCUGAUGGACCCAUCCUGUCCCUCCUUCCACCUAGAUGGCCAGAUGAAGGAAGUCACGGGACCCACUCACUGUGCCUUGGAAGCUCAAGCCAGUUUCUGAAGCCUGUCCUCACCUAUUCUUUCUCAAACUCUAUUCCCAGCUCCUCUCCUCAAAUGCUCUUGCCCAGAGUAGUCAUAAACCAAAACUACUUACCCUGACUGCCCCCACACCACCACCAAAGACUUUAGAAGUCUGGGUCAUCCAUUCUGCCUCCUCCACAGGGAAGAAUCCCACAGCUCCAAGACCCUUCAGUUCCACCCUGUCCCCGUUCCCAUCCGUUCCACUGCCUGAGAACAGCAGCCUGCAGGCACAAGUCUCAGGACAGGCACACCCAGAAUCCCUGGUACUGCAAUUUUUGUCUGUUCCACCAGAGAGCAACCUUUCUGCAUUUAUGCAUCUUGUUUGUCAAACAAUGAUCUCAUCUCCACAAACAAAUAUACCUGAUUCCAAGUGUUAGGAGAGCAAUUCUUGGGGUUUCCAUGACCCAGAGAAAUUCUCCAGACUCCACGAAAGUGUUUCCACUUUUCAGCUCUAAAGAUAGCUAACUAAAAAGUCAAUGAGAUGUCUCACUGGAGAAAGGUUCUAGGAUAUAGAAUAGGAACUUUUUUUUUACCUCUGGCUAGGGAGAGGAGCCCUGCCUUACCGCUCCACCAUGCAGCUGUCAGUCCAAUAGCCUCAGUCAGGUUCUGGAAAUGUAGGACUUUCACUGGGGUGAAAGAACUGCAGGAAGUGGCCUCUGGCUCCAAGGUCCUGUCCUGACACUGCUUUGGGAGAGCUAAGUGUGGACUUUGUGUCAGUGCAAUUCAGGUGCAAGACCGAGGCUUCUGACCCAGGCUAAGACAGGGAGCUGAGGAUUUCCCAGGCUCUGUUCCAUUAGGGUACAGACUCCUCCCUGGGAUCAGUGGGCUAUGACAGUUGUCACUCACGUCAGAUUAAUAAAAUUUAUCCUGGCUGUCUUAUAUUCAUUUUUUUCACUGUGUAUCAUUAUCUUCAAAGGAGUUACUCCAGAGUACAAGACAUAAAUGAAAAAGAUCGCUGCAAAAAAGAAACAACCAGAUAAUAAUACAAAGCUUUUUUUUCAACUAUCUAUUCUAUGAACAACUUGGUUGUGCUGCAAGGCCUGGUAACAGCUACUUUAUAGAAGAAUCCGAACUAAAUAUAAGUCAGCCAGUUGACACUGAGAUAUCUGCUCCUCUCUUUUCUGGCCUCUUCACUAACUUUCCUGUCCACUCUCCAUCCUAGCUGAAUCAAGUUUUGUUUGCUUAUCUACAGCCUUGCUAGGCUAUAAAACUUAUGCAUGGGUCACCAUCUCUU